CUAUAAAAGAUGUAACAGAUGCAAACUGUAAAACAAGGGCAAUUAACCCUUGCUCUCCUGGACAGAAACCCUCCUGUCCCCCCCAGCUAUUGUCCUCCCCCGCGCUGCAACUUUAGCACAAAAUGUCAAA
ensembl:misc_RNA